rnacentral:rRNA from 1 species
GACGAACGCUGGCGGCGUGCUUAACACAUGCAAGUCGAGCGGUAAGGCCCUUUCGGGGGUACGACGAGCGGCGAACGGGUGAGUAACACGUGGGUGACCUGCCCUUAGCUCUGGGAUAAGCCUGGGAAACUGGGUCUAAUACCGGAUAUGACUCCAUGACGCAUGUUGUGGGGUGGAAAGCCUUGUGCGGCUAGGGAUGGGCCCGCGGCCUAUCAGCUUGUUGGUGGGGUGAUGGCCUACCAAGGCGACGACGGGUAGCCGGCCUGAGAGGGCGACCGGCCGACACUGGGACUGAGACACGGCCCAGACUCCUACGGGAGGCAGCAGUGGGGAAUCUUGCGCAAUGGGCGAAAGCCUGACGCAGCGACGCCGCGUGAGGGAUGACGGCCUCGG